UCUCAAAUUAAACAAAAUUGAUUUAUAUGCUCAUUCAUUCAAACCACUUAAAAGUUUAUAUACCAAACAACCAAAGGAAAAUCUUUGUUAACCAUUAUCCACUAGUGUAAACCACCUUGCCAUCAUUACAACAUGCGCACGGAUUCUUUUCCAAACAUCACAUCUGGUACAAGUAUCAGGUGUUUUAAAAUUAUCAAUUUGAACAUGCGGAUAUAUGGUAACAUUAGGUUUUGCACAAAUUGGUAUUGUACAAAGAUAAUAAGGAAAUGGAAAGAGUAUUUGAACUGAACAUAGAUGCAUGUAUGCAUGAUACAAUGAUGAAGACAUCAUCAUGGGGCACCCACAGCUGGAGAAAAGGCCUUCAGUACUGCUACUAAAAGGUCUCCGAGGACGUCCAAAUUUGGACCCGGGGGUCAAAAUAUGACCAGUACUAAUAUAUGGGAUGAAAGGUUAUUUUUCUAGUAGUGAUCUGGAGUACCACCACGGAUCCUACCAUUAUUGCCACCACCGUAGUGACUUGGAGUGCCACCACGGGUCCUACCAUUAUUGCCACCACCGUACCAGUAGUAGCCACCUAAGCCACGCCCACGGCUAGCUGCAAAUCAACCAAAAGUAUUGUAAAUAAGAGUCAAUUACUAGAACAUUAUUAUUGCUUCCUUGCUAUGCAUGUGCAGUAAUCUGAAAAUAAAUUGAUUUGGAGAUUUAAUAUUUAACGAUCAUUUUAGUAUGUUUUUGUCAACAAACUGCUCAUUUGUCUGGGUAUUAAAUCUAAAUGCAUCAAUUAGUUAAUUGAGGUUGCCCUAACCAUGUCAGGUUGCAUGUUGGUACAUCUAGCUUGGAAGAUUAUGACGCAUGUUGGGUGCAAAUCCAUUACCGACUGACCGGUACUAAAGGGCGCAUUUAGUACCAGGCAUUUUGGCCGGUACUAAAGGGCGUGAAAUUUAGUACCGAAUUAGCAAUACGGAUCUUGUGCCUGGUACUAAGAUGGGUUACUGACCGGUACUAAAGGUCGAUUCUCCAGUAGCAUUACCAUGUUGUACUAAAACAUCUCCCACGAUUGAAUUGAAAAGGAAAGCAUCCCUUAUUCAAGUUGAAUGUGUUGGGUAGGUGAGAUGGUAAGAAUGCUACUUAUGAGGCGCUAGAGGUUUUGAGUUUGAAUCUUACGCACCUACAUGGAUAUUUCGUGUGAAAAACAUAUGACUUUGUCCACACGUGUGUAGGCCUUAUUGGGAUUUGAAAGUUUUCCAUCAUUUUUUGGCCAUGAAACCCUAUAGUAUCCAUAUUAAACUAAAGGUACCUUUAGUUACAGGUGAGCAACCCUAUACUAAAUGCUGAGUCUUUUAGUCUCGGUUUCAUCGUACCGGAUAGAAAACCCCAGAUAGAAAACCCGGUACAAAUGAGGAAUUUUCUAGUAAUGCAUGCCCGACAAAGAUCCUAACUGAGAUCAAUAAAAUUUCUUCAUUUCAAUAAUUGUUUUUAGAAAACUAGGAUCCUACGAAAUUGGGGCCAUGUGCAGGUGCACGACUCCUACGUGAUGCUCAAGCACUGACGGGUUUUUUUUUUUACCCUUAGGGACACUGAAAUUUUGUAUGUAAAAAGCAAACUCUUUUACAGUGAUUUAAAAAGUACCCACUGAUAAUUGUUUGUAAUUUUAUUUGCGAUUUUUGUUGACGUCUUAUAUGAAAAAACAAUUAAAAACUUAAAUUUAGGGACUAUUUUGGUACUUUGUCCCACCAAUUUAGUAGUCCGCCUUAGCUUUCGCAAAAAUAAUAGCAGUUCUUGGUACUUCUCUUUAGAUAUUUGAUAUUUGAAGGUACUUGUUUCCACCCUUAGAUUUCUCCAACUAUACUAAAAUUUCCUAAAAAGAAUAUGCACUCAAAAGGAGUUAAAGAAAGAUUAAUUACCAUGCCUAGUGUGGGUGAGAUCUCUUGCAGCGGACGCGCCCUGUAAAAUUAUGGCGAGAGAGACCAAUACCAUACAGAGCAAGACAAGAAGCUUGGAGGACAUUGCUGGGGAUGACAUUGUAGCCUUCAAUGUAUACGAUGUUGCUCUGUGACGCUGAUAAAUGCGACGAUACAUGUACACGGAUAUAUAGGAUGGAGGCCUGCUACUUGUUACAAUGAUUGAGACUGC
rnacentral:lncRNA from 1 species